rnacentral:rRNA from 1 species
GAUGAACGCUGUCGGCGUGCCUAAUACAUGCAAGUCGAGCGAACAGACGAGGAGCUUGCUCCUCUGACGUUAGCGGCGGACGGGUGAGUAACACGUGGAUAACCUACCUAUAAGACUGGGAUAACUUCGGGAAACCGGAGCUAAUACCGGAUAACAUGUUGAACCGCAUGGUUCAACAGUGAAAGACGGUCUUGCUGUCACUUAUAGAUGGAUCCGCGCCGCAUUAGCUAGUUGGUAAGGUAACGGCUUACCAAGGCAACGAUGCGUAGCCGACCUGAGAGGGUGAUCGGCCACACUGGAACUGAGACACGGUCCAGACUCCUACGGGAGGCAGCAGUAGGGAAUCUUCCGCAAUGGGCGAAAGCCUGACGGAGCAACGCCGCGUGAGUGAAGAAGGUCUUCGGAUCGUAAAACUCUGUUAUUAGGGAAGAACAAAUGUGUAAGUAACUAUGCACGUCUUGACGGUACCUAAUCAGAAAGCCACGGCUAACUACGUG